rnacentral:lncRNA from 1 species
CGGUGAAUCCUAUGAUGAAUUCUCCGACUGCGACACUUAUGAUUUUCUGCUAGAUGCAGGACUAUUUUUUUCCGUUUGAAAAAAAAAAAGGCGUUUUUCCCUAUGAAUACGUUGAUUGUUGGAGGAAACUCGAUGCAACGCUAUUACCUGCAAAGAAGCAUUUCUACUCACACCUCUGCGAUGCAAAUAUUUUAGACGCCGAUUACGAGCACGCUAAAAAUAUUUAGGGGGAAUUUCGUUAGAGUCAUUAGGGGGCUAUUCGGAUUUAUAUUUAAAUUGACUUUUUCAUAUUUCGUUUUGUUUAAUUUGCAGAUGUAUGAUAUACAUUUAUAUAUCAGGGUUUCAAUGGCCACAUCAAGCGAUUUUGCUUCUUUUGGAACAAUACCGACAGAAGUUAAAUGUUUUGGCCAAAGGAAAAGUAUCCCACAUGAAAUUCUGGGCUGAUGUUGUUUGCAAAGUGCAAGAACAUGGGCACCAACUAAGUGGGCCUCGGUGCCAAUCUAAGUUUUCUGGAAUGGAAAAGACAUACAAAAGUAUCAAGGAUCAAACCAGAAAUCAGGAAAUUCAACUAGGACGUGGCCAUAUUUAACUGCAAUGGACGAUUUAAUGGGGGAGAAACCCUUUAUGUCUCCUCUGUCAAUGUACUCGACUGGAAGAUGUACCCGUACACAUUCGGAGUCAAGUGUGGGGAGUGACAGUGGGAUGAGUACUUGUACGACCACAACAAGUGCGAAAAAACUAAAGCGAGAAACCGUAUUAGAUGGUAUAUUACAACGAAUUAAGACCAUAUUGUACAUGUGGAAAAUGUUUAUUUACCCUCCGAAAGUAAUAUUUCGGUUGAAUGAGAUUCAAGUAUCGAUCCAAACAAUGUUACUUGUGUAUUUUGUGAUCAAAAGACCAAAACACAUCGAUCCAAGAGACUGCCUCUAUUUUCAACCGACAAAAAAAUAUUUUUACCCAAAUUAAAAGAAAGGAACGAACAUUCUACGGAGUUGAUUAAUAAAAUAGCAAAUUAUCCUCAUUCGAAAGUUUAUCAUCCUAAAAGUGAAGAAUUAAAUCAAUCUUCCAUCCAAAUCACUUACGAUCUUGCAAUUGCUAAAGUAGCUUUACAAAUUCAAGCUACCGGAAAACCAACACCAACAUUUGAUAAUUCGUUUAUACAUUUGGGGCCUUUCCACAUCAUGUCUCAUCUUAAAGCUGUAGGAAAAGUUAUAACAGAUUCUGGCUUAUCCAAUGUUAUGGUGGAAGCAACAACUUGCAAUAUCAAUUCAAAACACCUGUGUUUGAAUUAACGAAACAUGGUUUCAACCAUAAUAGCCAUAUUUGUUUAAGAUAAAAAAAAAUAUUUUGUAUACUAUUAUCUUCGUUACCAGCUUCCGACUCAAGCGCUUGAAACAGUAAAUCAAAAUCAUCAAACCAACCGAUGCAGCGUAUGAAAUAUACUAGAUUACGUAGAUUUGGAAAUAUUCUAUACAAGUUAAUGAAGCUGAAGCUAGCAGCCAGAGUCAGCAGCCAAACGUGAUAAACUAUUUGGAAAUAGAAAAAUGCAGUUCAGUUUUCUCCUCAUAAUUGUAUAAAAGUAUUGGGGGUUCGAGGUACCUCCCAAAAUUUUGAUUCUCGAACAUCAUUAGCUUAUUUGAAUGAACAUUAGAACUUUUGGCUGCUAAUUCUGGUUCCGAGCUUCAGCCUUGUUUCAAGUUGUACAAUAUUCUUAUUAUAUCCGAACGCUAUGUGUCUUUGCUUCACCUGCGGAAAAUAUCUUUAUGACUGACGUAGGAGGAAGUUCGAUAGUAUCGAUCAACAAUCGGUAUUCUAUUCGGAAGUAUCAGCGAGCAGACCGAUACUGCUAGCUAAAUUUUUCCGUGUAUAUGAGUCAUUUUGAAAAAGUAUAUUCAAGAAGUUGUUUUUGGUAUGUAUUCUUCAUUCAUCGACCUAUCAGGAAUGAAGAGUUUAUUCAUGAACCGUUUUAAUUCUAAACUUAAAUUGAAAUGAAAAAUUAUUAUGAUUUCGACAGUACCGGAUACUUUGUUGUCUGACAAUAUCGGAUAUAGAUCAGGGUGUUAUUUGUUUGUUUCGUACGUGCAUAAACAGAGAGGGGUUUGGAAAUCAGAUAACAUGUAUCGGGCAAAAAAUGAAAAUACCUUGGAAGGUAGGUACUACUGGACUUCCUCCUACUAAACUUUCGGCGUUGUGAUGAAAAUAUAAUAAUAUUAUUGUACUGUAUUUUAUCCGAUAAAUCCCUCGAAGUUUCGCAAACUAUUCGAUUCACCAUGGAUCGAUUUUUUCAUGUUAACAUUUGAUAAACACUUGUGAAUAUCACUACGAUAAAUAAAUAAGGGAGUUUCGUGACUUUCGUUGAUCUA